UCCAACGCAGCUGCAGCUCCAGGGCUGGCAGGCUGCAGCCGUGCUGCUUGGCCCCGCUCCCCAGAGCAGGCUGUGGCCACGCCACCAGAGCACGCUGCGGCCGUGCCACCCAGCCCAGCCCACUGGAACAUGCUGCAGCGCGCCGCCCGGUCUGGCCUGCCGGAGCAGGCUGCAGCUGUGCCGCCCAGCCUGCCGGAGCAGCUCCAGAUAGAAGAAUAAAUGAAGAUGAAGCUCUGGACACUGGAGGCUCCAACAAAGGCCAUGCAGCAGUGAGAAGGAACUGGAAAGACAAUCCGUCUGUUCCACUCUUUAUGUCCUUGGUUGGAUGCAUAAUUGGAUGCAUGAGAAGAGCAGUGGUGCUUGCAUGGACCAAUGGACAUUGCUUUCAAGAAUUCUCCGACUCCUUGAAUAUGAAGCAUAUGCAUAACUACAGCGAAAGACACACAGGGAAUAGCGCUUGAAGGCGAACCUAUAAUUUCACAUCUUCCUACAGAUUUUAUAGCAUAUGCCCUCCUGCUGAAACUGCUCUAAAUUGUAUUGUUAUUAGUCCAAAGCAGCCUUCUAUUCUCACCCUGUUUUUCUUUUCCUUGCCAUAUCUUUGAGAUUUUAUAAUAAAUAUUGUAUGUUCAUGAAAAACA